AUUUUAGACGAUAUGAGACAUUGAACACACUUUUUA
rnacentral:sRNA from 1 species